GCCUUCGUGGUGUAGUGGUCAGCACGCUCGACGCGUAACCGAGAGGUCCGUGGUUCGAUUCCCGGUGAGGGCA
rnacentral:tRNA from 1 species